GUACGCCACUUUGGCUUGCAAAUGAUCACUUUUGCUAUUUUCGAGGCCAAACUGGAAUGCUGGAGUUCUAAAUUCUGCGUAUCCCUUCUUGCAUGUGUCUUGUUGUCGACUUGCGCCAUCUUUCCCUGUGUUUCAGGCCUCACAAGAUUAAAACUUGGUAAGAAAGUAGACACGGAAGUGUGUCUCUGUCCAGUUCCACCUAAACUGUGCUGGCAGAAACUUUGGCUCCUGCUGCUUAGCUCCUUCAGCGACCUGCGAGUCUGUCUCACGAAAAGAUACCGACCGCCAUCUUGAAUUUCUAAGCACUAAACACGAAGAGAUGUGAGUUUCUCAAAAGAUGCUUCAGACCCUCUGAGCCCCUUUGUCUGCGUGGAACGGGUCUCUAGUCGCGGGUGGACAAAGCGUAGGAUGAGUGACAAACAGACGCACACAGGAGAGGUCGAGGAAUCUGAAUGUCAUUUUUCAAAUCGAGCAUCAGACUUUUUAUGCAGAAGACAAUAAGGAAGUUGGAUGACAUACCUGCAAGGUACAAAUGAGCUUUCCCAGAUAUCUCUGAAGAUACCAUUUUGAAUAGGACUCACAUCACUCACUGCCUUGGUAGGGUCAUCUUUGUUCCACAAGAGGAAAACUGUCCACGAGAGGGUGGAGAUCACUCUGGCCAUGCAUAAUCAGAUUAACAUCAACGGUCCUUUACUCUGAAGAAGCCAUGGAGACCCCUCUUGCUGAUUAAGCCAGCUCAGGCUCCUGUGGAUGCUAUGGCCCUGGGCACUGAGCCCAGCAUCUGAACUUGUUCCUGGACCAGAGGUUCGAGAUGUCCACUUCUGAGGCCAUUUACUUCUUUGUGGGCCACCAGCUGUU
rnacentral:lncRNA from 1 species